GAUGAACGCUAGCGGGAGGCUUAACACAUGCAAGUCGAGGGGCAUCACGAGGUAGCAAUACUUUGGUGGCGACCGGCGCACGGGUGAGUAACACGUAUGCAACCUUCCCUGUACAGGGGGAUAACCCGGAGAAAUUCGGACUAAUACCCCAUGAUGAUAUUUAUGGGCAUCCAUUAAUAUUUAAAGCUCUGGCGGUACAGGAUGGGCAUGCGCGACAUUAGCUAGUUGGUAAGGUAACGGCUUACCAAGGCCACGAUGUUUAGGGGACCUGAGAGGGUUGUCCCCCACACUGGUACUGAGACACGGACCAGACUCCUACGGGAGGCAGCAGUGAGGAAUAUUGGUCAAUGGGCGCAAGCCUGAACCAGCCAUCCCGCGUGAAGGAAGAAUGCGCUACGCGUUGUAAACUUCUUUUCCAGGGGGAGAAUAAUCCUGUCGUGACAGGACUUGACGGUACUCUGGGAAUAAGCAUCGGCUAACUCCGUGCCAGCUAGCCGCGGU
rnacentral:rRNA from 1 species